AAAAAUGUAUCUGCCAAUGGUCCCUUUUGAAAAAUUACUGGACCUCACCUUAGAUAGGAACAAAGCAAAACAAAGCAAAGUGUGCUGCUUAUAUACCGCCCUAUAGCGCUUCAAGCACUCUCUGGCCAGUUUACAAGUUAAUUAUGCAGGCUACACAUUGCCCCCCCCCAGCGAGCUGGGUACUCAUUUUACUGACCUCGGAAGGAUAGAAGGCUGAGUCAACCUUGAGCCGCUACCUGGGAUUGAACCCCAGGUCGUGAGCACAGUUUUGGCUGCAGUACAGCGGUUUAACCACUGCGCCACAAGGCUCUGCUCAACAGAUGGUGGGCAUCAAGGAAGACUGCAGGUGCUCAGCACCCAAUAUGAAAUACCAGUUCCUCUGUCUCAGCCACAUGAGGUUUGAAGGUCAAGUGACACUCACCUACGCCAUUCUUCUUGAAGUACACAAUAGACCCACAGAUCGCCCAUGGGUAUCUGCUUGUUCUUCAUGCUUGCUGGCCAUCAGGCUGUAAUUAUGAACUCAGUAAGUAGGCUUUUGGGUGCAGCAUGAACUCCACCCAAGCUGUUCUUCUUGCCUAGGAAGAGACUGUGUGGAGAAAGGAACCAAAGAUGAGCAAAUUUCUGGCAAUAGGUCUCUUAGCCCUGCUCUGUGGUGGCACAGUGGGAGCUAUCCAAUGUUCAGAAUGUAGAAAUGUGGCAGAAGAUAACACGUGUACGGUAAAGCCUGAACUGACCUGUGACAAUGGGCUUUUCAACCUCUGCUACACACGGGUGAUAAAGAAAGGAGGUGCAAUAACACAGGUGACCCGGGGUUGCUCUGCUGUGUGUCAGAGCAUAAAGAGGAAGCAAGGUGACUAUGAAGAUACCAUGAUCUGUUGUGUGCUACCCAUGUGCAACAUUCACAACUUCUUUGCCAACC
rnacentral:lncRNA from 1 species